rnacentral:rRNA from 1 species
CCUACGGGCGGCAGCAGUGAGGAAUAUUGGUCAAUGGACGAGAGUCUGAUCCAGCCAAGUAGCGUGAAGGAUGACUGCUCUAUGGGUUUUAAACUUCUUUUAUAUGGGAAUAAAACAGGGUAUGCAUACCCUCUUGUAUGUCUCAUAUGAUUAAGGAUCGGCUAACUCCGUGCCAGCAGCCGCGGUAAUACGGAGGAGCCGAGUGUUAUCCGGAUGUAUUGGGUUUAAAGGGAGCGUAGGUGGAUUGGUAAGUCAGUUGUGAAAGUUUGCGGCUCAACCGUAAAAUUGCAGUUGAAACUGGCAGUCUUGAGUACAGUAGAGGUGGGCGGAAUUCGUGGUGUAGCGGUGAAAUGCUUAGAUAUCACGAAGAACUCCGAUUGCGAAGGCAGCUCACUGGACUGCAACUGACACUGAUGCUCGAAAGUGUGGGUAUCAAACAGGAUUAGAUACCCCUGUAGUC